rnacentral:rRNA from 1 species
AGUGAACGCUGGCGGUAGGCCUAACACAUGCAAGUCGAACGGCAGCACAGAGGAGCUUGCUCCUUGGGUGGCGAGUGGCGGACGGGUGAGGAAUACAUCGGAAUCUACUCUGUCGUGGGGGAUAACGUAGGGAAACUUACGCUAAUACCGCAUACGACCUACGGGUGAAAGCAGGGGAUCUUCGGACCUUGCGCGAUUGAAUGAGCCGAUGUCGGAUUAGCUAGUUGGCGGGGUAAAGGCCCACCAAGGCGACGAUCCGUAGCUGGUCUGAGAGGAUGAUCAGCCACACUGGGACCGAGACACGGUCCAGACUCCUACGGGAGGCAGCAGUGGGGAAUAUUGGACAAUGGGCGCAAGCCUGAUCCAGCCAUACCGCGUGGGUGAAGAAGGCCUUCGGUUUGUAAAGCCCUUUUGUUGGGAAAGAAAUCCGUCUGGUUAAUACCCGGGUGGGAUGACGGUACCCAAAGAAUAAGCACCGGCUAACUUCGUGCCAGCAGCCGCAGUAA